GAUGAAGAACGCAGCGAAAUGCGAUAAGUAAUGUGAAUUGCAGAAUUCAGUGAAUCAUCGAAUCUUUGAACGCAAAUUGCGCCCUUUGGCAUUCCGAAGGGCACACCUGUCCGAGCGCCGUCGCACAACUGAGGCGCAGCCUUGCGUUGGCGGGCGACUUGUGAGUAGCGAGUCGCCGCCCAAACGAGACGGCGCCGCGCCGCGGCCGACGAAGCACGAAAGCGGAAGUCGACGCGGAGGCGGUUGCCUGUAGGAAGACACAGCUUGGCCUCGGAUCAGGUGGGGAUACCCGCUGAACUUAAGCAUAUCAAUAAGCGGAGGA
rnacentral:misc_RNA from 1 species